rnacentral:rRNA from 1 species
UGCCAGCAGCCGCGGUAAUACAGAGGUGGCAAGCGUUGUUCGGAUUUACUGGGCGUAAAGGGUGCGUAGGCGGCACUGUGUGUCGGAUGUGAAAUCUCACGGCUUAACCGUGGAACUGUAUCCGAAACUACAGAGCUAGAGUAUUGGAGAGGUAAGUGGAAUUCUUGGUGUAGCGGUGAAAUGCGUAGAUAUCAAGAGGAACACCGGUGGCGAAAGCGACUUACUGGACAAAUACUGACGCUGAGGCACGAAAGCUAGGGGAGCAAAAAGGAUUAGAUA